CCUGUUUCUCCUCAGCCACCUCAGCCAGGGCUCAGCGAAGGGCCAGCCGCCCCACCGCCCAUGCCCACUGCACAGCGCCGGGGUCCCACGGCCACUGCACAGCGCGGGACAGGGCCGGGCGUCCACCCGCCCAACCCCGGGGCCGAGGACAGCCGGCCUUCCCCGCCACGGCGCAGCCGGGACCACCACGCGCGUGCCCGACCCCCGGUUUCCUUCCCGUUCCGCCGUGCCCCGGAAGCCAGGACACCUCCGACUAUUUGAGAACACACAUGUGAUGGUGUAAUUUCUGCUUUUCUGAAAGAACUCGGAGGAGAUCUGAUAGAGGAGUUUGGGGAACACUUCUGUCAGGACACAGUCCCUGCAGGUCAAUGAAAUCUACCACGAUGAGUCUUUGGGGGCCCACAUCAACGUGGUGCUGGUGCGGAUCAUCCUGCUGAGCCAUGGGAAGAUGAUGGAAAGUUGUCCUUUGAAGAAUCCAAAGCCUACUUUGCAGAUGGUGUUCUCAGUGGAGAAGAAUUACAUGAGCUCUUCCACACCAUUGACACCCAUAACACAAAGUAAGGAUUUCGAACUAGAUUCUGUAAAUGGGGCAGAGAGAGUGUGAGUGAGGACAUGCGCAUGAAGAGGAGAGAGGAGAGACACAUGGAGGGCACAUUCUGUAAUGCUUCCCUAAGUCUGAUUAUGAGAUAACUCCUCUUUAAUAAUUGAAAUGCUCUGAAAGGCCGAACAAUCUCCAGGAAGCUCUUCUAAAGUGGUUUUAGAUUGCUCCCUUUUAGCAGAAUGCAAAACAAGAGAAUAUAAGUAAUUCUCUUAUUAAUAGACAAGUGGAAUUUUGCCUUGUUACUUAGGUGUCAUGUCAAUUUGCCUUGUUUAAAAAUUGGCCUUAAAGUUUUCUUAUCGUAGUGAUAUGGGUGGUUUGUAGCAGUCAUCUGGACACUUCAGGUAAUCAGUGCUAAGUCGUUGUUAGCGGAGGGGUGCAAGUGUGUAGGACACAAAAUUAUCCCUGAAUAGUC